CACAGCGGCGGCCGUUCCCGUUGCAGCUGCAGCUCUCUCCCUUCGUUCCCUUCCCUCCAGGUCCCAGAGUUCGCCCGCCAUGGCUCUACUCACUGCGGCAGCCCGGCUCUUGGGAGCCAAGAACUCAUCCUGUCUCGUCCUUGCUGCCCGGCAUGCCAGUGCUUCUUCCACGAAUUUGAAAGAGGUACUGAGCAAUCUGAUACCUAAGGAGCAAGCCAGAAUUAAGAACUUCAAACAGCAGCAUGGGAAGACAGUGGUGGGCCAAAUCACGGUGGACAUGAUGUACGGUGGCAUGAGAGGCAUGAAGGGACUUGUGUAUGAGACCUCAGUUCUUGAUCCCGAUGAGGGCAUCCGUUUCCGAGGCUAUAGUAUCCCUGAAUGCCAGAAACUGCUGCCUAAGGCUAAGGGUGGGGAAGAACCCCUGCCUGAGGGCUUGUUUUGGCUGCUGGUAACUGGACAGAUGCCCACAGAGGAACAGGUAUCUUGGCUCUCACAAGAAUGGGCAAAAAGGGCAGCUCUGCCUUCUCAUGUGGUUACCAUGCUGGACAACUUUCCCACCAACCUGCACCCCAUGUCUCAGCUCAGUGCGGCCAUCACUGCCCUCAACAGCGAGAGCAACUUCGCCCGAGCGUAUGCUGAGGGGAUGAACAGAGCCAAGUACUGGGAGCUCAUCUAUGAAGACUGUAUGGACCUGAUUGCCAAGCUACCGUGUGUUGCAGCAAAGAUCUACCGGAAUCUGUACCGGGAGGGCAGCAGUAUUGGGGCCAUUGACUCUAAACUGGACUGGUCCCACAAUUUUACCAACAUGUUAGGCUACACGGACCCUCAGUUCACAGAGCUCAUGCGUUUGUACCUCACUAUCCACAGUGACCAUGAGGGAGGUAAUGUAAGCGCCCACACAAGCCAUUUGGUGGGCAGCGCCCUUUCAGACCCUUACCUGUCCUUUGCAGCAGCCAUGAAUGGGCUGGCGGGGCCUCUACAUGGACUAGCAAAUCAGGAGGUGCUUGUCUGGCUGACACAGCUACAGAAGGAAGUUGGCAAGGACGUGUCAGAUGAGAAGUUACGAGAUUACAUCUGGAACACACUCAACUCAGGGCGGGUUGUCCCGGGAUAUGGUCAUGCAGUGCUAAGGAAGACUGAC